UGGGGAAUUUUGGACAAUGGGGGAAACCCUGAUCCAGCCAUCCCGCGCGUGCGAUGAAGGCCUUCGGGUUGUAAAGCACUUUUGGCAGGAAAGAAACGUCAUGGGUUAAUACCCCGUGAAACUGACGGUACCUGCAGAAUAAGCACCGGCUAACUACGUGCCAGCAGCCGCGGUAAUACGUAGGGUGCAAGCGUUAAUCGGAAUUACUGGGCGUAAAGCGUGCGCAGGCGGUUCGGAAAGAAAGAUGUGAAAUCCCAGAGCUCAACUUUGGAACUGCAUUUUUAACUACCGUGCUAGAGUGUGUCAGAGGGAGGUGGAAUUCCGCGUGUAGCAGUGAAAUGCGUAGAUAUGCGGAGGAACACCGAUGGCGAAGGCAGCCUCCUGGGAUAACACUGACGCUCAUGCACGAAAGCGUGGGGAGCAAACAGG
rnacentral:rRNA from 1 species